rnacentral:rRNA from 1 species
AGAGUUUGAUCCUGGCUCAGAACGAACGCUGGCGGCGUGCUUAACACAUGCAAGUCGAACGUGAUCCGGAGCUUGCUCCAGUGAAAGUGGCGCACGGGUGAGUAACGCGUGGAUAAUCUGCCCUGGUAUCUGGGAUAACAUCUCGAAAGGGGUGCUAAUACCGGAUAAGCCUACGGACUCUUUGGAGUCUGCAGGAAAAGGUGGCCUCUAUUUAUAAGCUACCGUAUCAGGAUGAGUCCGCGUACCAUUAGCUAGUUGGUGGGGUAAUGGCCCACCAAGGCUACGAUGGUUAGCUGGUCUGAGAGGAUGAUCAGCCACACUGGAACUGAGACACGGUCCAGACUCCUACGGGAGGCAGCAGUGGGGAAUUUUGCGCAAUGGGGGAAACCCUGACGCAGCAACGCCGCGUGAGUGAUGAAGGCUUUCGGGUCGUAAAGCUCUGUCAGAGGGGAAGAAAUGAGUCUGGCUAAUAUCCAGAUUUCUUGACGGUACCCUCAAAGGAAGCACCGGCUAACUCCGUGCCAGCAGCCGCGGUAA